GGGGUUGUGGCUCAGUGGUAGAGCACUCACCCUGCAUAUGUGAAGCCCUGGGUUUGAUCCCCAGCACCACA
rnacentral:tRNA from 1 species